rnacentral:rRNA from 1 species
AGAGUUUGAUCAUGGCUCAGGACGAACGCUGGCGGCGUGCUUAACACAUGCAAGUCGAACGGGGCUCAUCGCUUCGGUGGUGGGUUCAGUGGCGAACGGGUGAGUAACACGUGGGUAACCUGCCCCUGGCUCUGGGAUAACUCCAAGAAAUUGGGGCUAAUACCGGAUGUGACCGCUGACCGCAUGGUCUGGUGGUGGAAAGAUUUAUCGGCUGGGGGUGGGCCCGCGGCCUAUCAGCUUGUUGGUGGGGUAGUGGCCUACCAAGGCGACGACGGGUAGCCGGCCUGAGAGGGUGACCGGCCACACUGGGACUGAGACACGGCCCAGACUCCUACGGGAGGCAGCAGUGGGGAAUAUUGCGCAAUGGGCGGAAGCCUGACGCAGCGACGCCGCGUGGGGGAUGACGGCCUUCGGGUUGUAAACCUCUUUCAGCUCCGACGAAGCCGGAAGGUGACGGUAGGAGCAGAAGAAGCACCGGCCAACUACGUGCCAGCAGCCGCGGUAAUACGUAGGGUGCAAGCGUUGUCCGGAAUUAUUGGGCGUAAAGAGCUCGUAGGCGGUUUGUCGCGUCGGCUGUGAAAUCCCGGAGCUCAACUCCGGGUCUGCAGUCGAUACGGGCAGACUUGAGUGUUGCAGGGGAGACUGGAAUUCCUGGUGUAGCGGUGAAAUGCGCAGAUAUCAGGAGGAACACCGGUGGCGAAGGCGGGUCUCUGGGCAACAACUGACGCUGAGGAGCGAAAGCGUGGGGAGCGAACAGGAUUAGAUACCCUAGUAGUCC